UCCGGUUUGUCACCGGCAGUCUCGCCAGAGUUCCCAACUGAAUGAUGGCAAAUGGCGAUAGGGGUUGCGCUCGUUGCCGGACUUAACCGAACACCUCACGGCACGAGCUGACGACAGCCAUGCAGCACCUGUCACUCGAUUCCAUCUUGCGAUGGCACCACCGCCUUUCAGCAGUGUUUCGAGGAUGUCAAACCCAGGUAAGGUUCUUCGCGUUGCUUCGAAUUGAACCACAUGCUCCACCGCUUGUGUGAGCCCCCGUCAAUUCCUUUGAGUUUUAGCCUUGCGACCGUACUUCCCAGGCGGUCGACUUAGCACUUUUGCUUCGACCGUGACGGCGUCAGAGCCACCACGAUCUAGUCGACAUCGUUUACAGCCAGGACUAC
rnacentral:misc_RNA from 1 species